ACUUUUCAAUUCUCUGUUUGAUAUUGCUCGUACUUUGGUUUGUCAAUUUUGUAGAGCAUAUGACAUCGCUGAUAUUCGCUUCAGCGCAAUGGAAGAUGUUAUUUAUUCUGACUCUACUUUGCUUCCUAUACAUAUAUUUUACCUACAACUGAAGCAAAGGUUCUCUUAUAAUACCUCUCCGGGCAUGUCAUUGGCAAUGUUAAAGAUUUGCUUCUAUUGUUUCUGAGACAUUACUAGAAGUGGUUCAUAAGUUUGCAAGGUUGGAAUAUGAAGCUAUGCUCGAAUUUUCUCGAGAAGGGAGCUCGGCUUCGGAGUCCGAGCAUGCAUGAGGAGCUGGCCGGCGGCGAUUCAGCAAGUAGGCUGGCCGGCAGACAGCGGAGCAGCGAGAAGCCUGGUGGGCAG